UCCUCCUUAGCUCAGUUGGUUAGAGCACAUCACUGUUAAUGAUGGGGUCCUCCGUUCAAGUCGGAGAGGGGGAG
rnacentral:tRNA from 2 species